GGGCCCGCACAAGCGGUGGAGCAUGUGGUUUAAUUCGAAGCAACGCGAAGAACCUUACCAGGUCUUGACAUCUAGCGCCAAUCCUAGAGAUAGGACGUUCCCUUCGGGGACGCUAAGACAGGUGGUGCAUGGUUGUCGUCAGCUCGUGUCGUGAGAUGUUGGGUUAAGUCCCGCAACGAGCGCAACCCUUAUUAUCAGUUACCAGCAUUCAGUUGGGCACUCUGGUGAGACUGCCGGUGACAAACCGGAGGAAGGUGGGGAUGACGUCAAAUCAUCAUGCCCCUUAUGACCUGGGCUACACACGUGCUACAAUGGCUAGUACAACGAGUUGCGAGAUCGCGAGGUCAAGCUAAUCUCUAAAAGCUAGUCUCAGUUCGGAUUGUAGGCUGCAACUCGCCUACAUGAAGUUGGAAUCGCUAGUAAUCGCGGAUCAGCACGCCGCGGUGAAUACG
rnacentral:rRNA from 1 species